CGGCGGACGGGUGAGUAACGCGUGGGUAACCUGCCUCAUACAGGGGGAUAACAGUUAGAAAUGACUGCUAAUACCGCAUAAGACCACAGGAUCGCAUGAUCCGGUGGUAAAAACUCCGGUGGUAUGAGAUGGACCCGCGUCUGAUUAGCUAGUUGGUGGGGUAACGGCCUACCAAGCCGACGAUCAGUAGCCGACCUGAGAGGGUGACCGGCCACAUUGGGACUGAGGCACGGCCCAA
rnacentral:rRNA from 1 species